ACCAAAAGCCUCGCUCCGGGACUGGUUCUCCUUGGCUUCCUCGACCUAUAUGCCGCCGCCAUCCGCCGUUGCGACCGCCACUGCUGCCAUCCGCCGCUCCCACCGCUGCCGCCAUACGCCGCUGCUGCUAUCCGUCGCUGCGGCCACCGCUGCCGCUGCCGCCAUCCAACGAUGUCGUCGCCAUCGUCAUGCAACGAUGCCGCCGCCGUCAUGGGACGAUGUCGCCGCCGCCAAUUCCUUCAUGAUGCUCUGGGUGGUGCGCUCUAGCAUUGCGCGUUCCCAGCGCCCCUGCCGUCCGUCGCCGUGCUGCGGUGCCUGCACUGUGACGAGCGCCUCAUGCUAGAGGCCAUGGUCGUGAGGCCCCAAGUGUACCUCACACUAUAAUCGCUCUGAUAAAAGGCCCACACAACCCAAUCACCUCUUGCUAAUCCUUCUCCGUCUUACUUCAAUGUCAUCUUGAAGUUCAGAUUUCUAUCAACGGAUCUGAAAAAGGAUCACAAACUCACAGUUCAAUCCAGAAUCUCCCCAAUCCCUUUCUUUUUUGGUCUUUAAUAACAACAUAUUUUGGGUUGUGAUUAUGCAGCAUGCCAACAUAAAUCAUUUUAGGCCAAUUUACUGAGUCAGUCUCACAAUGGUUGAUGUGACGACGAGUGAAGGGGCUGUAGCGGACUGCUAGCGCCAGGAUCCCUACUCUAUUCUCCAUCCGUUCAAUUUAUCACAGAGGUAUGAUGCUUGGAGUUUAAAUAUUCUUUCAUGUGUUAAACUACUAAAUUGUGCACUUUUGUUAUUGUUAUAUCCGCUGGUAGUCAGAUUUUAAAACUAUUGGCCAUACACAGUUAGCUUCAAGUACGAGUUGUACAUGCAUAAUAUUUUUUUUGGCAAACCUCUAUCCCUUAAAGGUACACUCCAUUUCUUUCUAUAUCACACAUAUGGUUUAUAUCAUUUGUUAUUUCCCUAACUGUACUCUAUAUGCAACUAUGCAAGUACUGCACUCCACUUAAGAUUUUUUGCUGCUAACCAUGGUCAUUGUUAUGUGUAAUAUUUUUCCAAGUAUGAUCAAUUCAUACUAUUUUGUGUAAUAUUUUUGCAGCUUGAGAGAAACUACAUGUAAGUAUCUUCAUCAUUCUUACGAUGUUAAGUUUAGUGCUCUGCUAGCCCUUUUAGUGCUUAGUUGCUGUUACGACUGAAGUAACUUCUUUUUCAUUCACGAAUUCGCAUGCUAGGAUGCAAUGUUAUGUAGGAUAGUUCUUCUAAGGGGUCGUUAGAGAGGGAAAUUUGAAGAUGACAGUGUGUUGACUUUUUGAAAAUCACUAAUGGUCUACUGAAUAUUUUAACAUUCUAUCGAAAUGCUUUGUAAUUUUUACUAUUCUAAUUAGAGACUUCUUUAAUUAGUGCUUCCUCAUUUAUCCACGUCGUUCAAACUAUCAAAUUAAUCUAUGUAAUUGGAAUAUGUUAACCAAACGAUUUAGAUAACUCUUGAAGUGGAAAAAUAACCCAACCUACACGAUUUUACUUAGGAAGUUAAUAUAUAAUUUACCUGUAGCACUCGGAUGAAGCAUGAGAUGCUCUCAUAUGCCACGUGUGACGAGUCGUCCUCUCCUUGGUCUCUCAUGUUUUCCUUGAGGCAUCCUCCCCUUGAUUCUCCUAUUUUGCCCUAUUGGGGAAAAAAUGAUCGUCAUCUCUCUCUGUAUGUCUCGACAACAAAAAAUAGGAAAAAUGAUAUUUGAUCGCAGGCUCCUUAUAAAUUAGCUACUUUCAGCCCUCGAUGAACUGAGCCUACAGAGCACAAUCAUCUGCCUGCUAUUGCAAUCUUAAUUUCCAUCGCCUAAAAAGCAUCCCUCUUAUCGUGAUGUCGUUGUUCCCAGCCGGCAUCACUCCUCGAAAGAAACUUCAUACAUACAAUACAACGUGCUGAUGAUGCUGUUACAAUAUUGAUCUCGCACUGCACAUCUGUCCAAAGGAAUUGCAUCAUCAUCUCUCAUUGCAGAUCUAUCUGAAGGCGUCAUUGACAAGGGUGGACAUUGCUAGCCUGGGCGACUAGAUAGAUCCCUUCCUCGGUUUUGUACUUUUUUGCCGUUUUCUUAUAAAAUAGUGGAUUAAUAUCCUCCGGUGUUUCUAAAUGAAUCUUUUAGUUUUGUAUCCAUAUAUUUGCUAACAAGCCUGACGUGUGAAGCCAAGAUGCUAGACUAGCGUUUUAUACAAACACGGAAACUGUUGCUUUGUAUUUCCUUGCAGAACAUGGAUGGGAGCACAUCUUCAUCCUAUUUUAUAUCGUUGUUUCAGUACACAUAGAGGUAUUGGUCUGGUCGCUUCUAUUCUGAUACAUCAAAUAUGUAAGUGAAACCCUCGAAGUGAAUGUCUUAUAUGAAUUCGUUAUUGCCUGACUACUUAACAUUGGUGUCUAAAUAAUCUUUCCAUUUUUUAUUUGUUAUUUUGGUUUGCAAGCUAACCUUUUAACUGCUGAUGACUUUUUCUGUUCUAAUAACAACAUCGGAGGUGGAUUUUGUACUAUUGUAAUUGAGAAAAUGCCUGUAAUGCAGAAUUGCAAUCUCAAGAAUGAAACUAAAGAAUGUGCGUCAUGAUGUUUUUCUUUAAGAUUAAUUUUAUAAUUUUAUAUGCCAUCUUCUUUUUUGCUUCAGGAUUAGAAAUGUCCGUCUGCUACAUAAUGCAUGUGUUCAGUCUGAAAAUUUCAGUGUUAGUACUAUCAUAUUUACUAUUUGUUAGUAUUAAUUCACAACACGUCAUUGGUAAAAGUGUACUGGAAAGAACAACUAAUCAAUAUUGUUGUGCUUUGAUGUUUCCCUGGUCUGUUCACAUGCUUCUUUAAUAGUUUCCAUUGGAUUACAUGCAUGAUCUUCUUUGUCUUUGUGGAGCUAGCAGAAAUCUGUUUGUGAUCAAUCAAAGACAAUGAAAACAUUUACUCUAGAUUUUUAUUAGUGUGGAUCCUAUAAAAUACUAUGAUUGGAAGUCCAAUGGCCAAUCUCAUUUUCUUAGUACUGGUAGUUCUAUCUGGAGUGCUUUUGCCUUCUAUAUGUACUAAAUAAAUAAAAUAGCACUUUUUAGGAGAUGGUGCAGGGGUGCGAACAAGUAAUCAUAGUAUUAGUAAAUCAUUUUUUGCAAUCAGUUAUGCUUUUUUCAUACAUAAUACUAUUAUUUUGGGGCAUGACAUAAUGUUUCUCUCUCUCUCUUGGUAUGAAUGCCUGAGUUUUACUAGAAGCCUUCAGGUUUGCAUGUUGAGAUUGAAGGUGUUUGAUUUUUGGAGGGCAAUAUCCAUCUUACACUAAAGAAUGUAUUUUGUUCUAGAUUACAUCUAUCGACAGAAACAAUGUUCGGAGAUUCAGGUUUUCUAAAGGCCUAGCAGAACAGAUAAAUACCAGAUCACAACUCACUACGUAGAUUGGAAGGAAAAGACUCCAUAUUUAUUCCCCGUGUUCAUUUCAUUAGGAAUACAUAACACAUCAAUUUGAUUUGUGCUAAGAAUUGGCAAGAGCGGUAGCUUAUACCUAAUACAGGAAAUGGUGCUAUAAGUCUAAUGUCACCUGAAUGCACAUUAUUUUGAAAAAUCCUUAUAAAUGUAAAAAUAGACAAGAAGUUGUCAUGUCGACUAGAGAUAUAGCUUCUGAGGUGUAUAACCGUGGGUAUAUUCAAACAUGUCAUCUGAUUCAAGUUGAAGCGACGUGGUUUGCUUCUUUAACACCUAUCUAUUCAGUGUGCUUGUGGAAUGGUCUUAUAAUCAAAGUUGUAUUUUAAUGAAAAAAGUAGUCUUCAAAAGGGAGAAGAAGCAAUUUCUUUCUCGGCCAGAACAUCACUUAUUAUAACAUUACAGAGUAGUAUGCACAAUUUUUCCUUUUCGUUUUGCCAAAAAUAACAGACCAAGACUUAUAUCUCACACAGCUCACAUGCGUUUAUUCAUAUGCAUGUCAUACAAAUAAUAAAGAAGUUUGGUUUAAAAAAAUUUAGACCGAGAUGAAUGUCUCAUGCACGGUUUUGCAUGAGAGAAACAAACAAGGAGUCCUCUUCUCGACUCUGACUCCCCCACUCCAGCCGUUGCGUUUCUUUCUAUUAGUUCGAAAGUAGUUGCUUCU